GAUGAACGCUGGCGGCGUGCCUAAUACAUGCAAGUCGAGCGAACAGAUGAGGAGCUUGCUCCUCUGACGUUAGCGGCGGACGGGUGAGUAACACGUGGAUAACCUACCUAUAAGACUGGGAUAACUUCGGGAAACCGGAGCUAAUACCGGAUAAUAUAUUGAACCGCAUGGUUCAAUAGUGAAAGACGGUUUUGCUGUCACUUAUAGAUGGAUCCGCGCCGCAUUAGCUAGUUGGUAAGGUAACGGCUUACCAAGGCAACGAUGCGUAGCCGACGUGAGAGGGUGAUCGCCCACACUGGAACUGAGACACGGUCCAGACUCCUACGGGAGGCAGCAGUAGGGAAUCUUCCGCAAUGGGCGAAAGCCUGACGGAGCAACGCCGAGUGAGUGAUGAAGGUCUUCGGAUCGUAAAACUCUGUUAUUAGGGAAGAACAAAUGUGUAAGUAACUAUGCACGUCUUGACGGUACCUAAUCAGAAAGCCACGGCUAACUACGUG
rnacentral:rRNA from 1 species